rnacentral:rRNA from 1 species
UACGUAGGGGGCGAGCGUUGUCCGAAGUUACUGGGCGUAAAGCGCGCGUAGGCGGGUCGUUAAGUGGGCAGUGAAAGGCUGGGGCUCAACUCCAGCAGUGCCUCUCAUACUGGCAGUCUUGAGGGCGGUAGAGAGAAGUGGAAUGGCUGGUGUAGCGGUGAAAUGCGUAGAUAUCGGGAGGAACAUCAGUGGCGAAGGCGGCUGCCUGGCCCAAUACUGACACUCAGGUGCGACAGCGUGGGGAGCAAACAGG